AUUGAACGCUGGCGGCAGGCCUAACACAUGCAAGUCGAACGAGUGGCGGACGGGUGAGUAAUGUCUGGGAAACUGCCUGAUGGAGGGGGAUAACUACUGGAAACGGUAGCUAAUACUGCAUACCAUCAGAUGUGCCCAGAUGGGAUUAGCUUGUUGGUGGGGUAACGGCUCACCAAGGCUACGAUCCGUAACUGGUCUGAGAGGAUGAGCAGUCACAUUGUAACGGAGACACGGUCCAGACUCCUACGGGAGGCAGCAGUAGAGAAUAUUGGACAAUGGGCGGAAGCCUGAUCCAGCCAUGCCGCGUGUGUGAAGAAGGUCUUCGGAUUGUAAAGCACUUUAAAUUGGGAGGCGUUAUCUACAGAAUAAGCACCGGCUAACUCUGUGCCAGCAGCCGCGGUAAUUC
rnacentral:rRNA from 1 species